rnacentral:misc_RNA from 1 species
CUAAGGAGAACAUGAGUACCUCAUCACGGGUACUCGUAUUCUAAAGUCGAUCACAGUCAAGAGACGCAAGUUCCGAAAGCUGCGAUAGUUGGUUCGCAAGGACCACAAAAAAAUCUUGGAUUCGUUUUUAAAAACUCUCUUCUAUUCAAUCUUCAGGGCCCGAUCCUGAAUUCCUGUCAUGGGCUUAUAGCUCAGCUGGUUAGAGCGCACGCCUGAUAAGCGUGAGGUCGGUGGUUCGAGUCCACUUAAGCCCACCAACUUUACUUUUUUCCAGCUUAUAAGUUAAGAAAAAAGUGGAGAUACAGGAAAUUGCACCUGCACCUUGAAAACUGCAUAUAGAAUGACUAAUAACAAGACAAAAAAGAAGAAGAAAAAAGAAAGUCUUGCAAGUAACAAAGUACAUAAAAAUACUGGAAAACGAAGCAAGUCUUAGAGAAGAUCUUCAUCAAAGUGUUUUGGAUUUAAGACGAAGAUAGAAGAACCAUAACUCAUGCAUUAAUUUGCAUGGAAUUCUGGAACGGAACUUCAUUUAUGGAGGGAAAGUAAAAGGAUUA